GACAGAGGUGCCGAGCGUUAGGCGGAAUCACUGGGCUUAAAGCGUGUGUAGGCGGGUCCGUAAGUACCUUGUGAAAUCCCACGGCUCAACCGUGGAGCUGCUUGGUAUACUGCGGGUCUUGAGCCACUUAGGGGCAAGCGGAACAAACGGUGGAGCGGUGAAAUGCGUAGAUAUCGUUUGGAACGCCAAUGGUGAAAACAGCUUGCUGGGAGUGUGCUGACGCUGAGACACGAAAGCCAGGGGAGCAAACGGG
rnacentral:rRNA from 1 species